rnacentral:lncRNA from 1 species
CUCUCUCUCUCUCUCUCUCUCUCUCUCUCUCUCUCUCACCCCUCCUCUCUCUCUCUUUCUCCGAGCGAGCUCUCAGCUCCCGACUCUAUUUAUAGCGCAGUCCCGCCCUCCCCUGUCGCUCGGCAGCUAUUUCCAGCAGCCUGAAGCAGCUCCAGUCUGUUUGUAAACUCCACGUCUCUAUACCUCUGCUCUCUCGUUCGCCGCGCAUCGCGGGUGAGGGUGCAGAGAUUCGGCUUUGAACAAUUACAUAAAAGCAAAACAGUCGCACUAAAUGGAGUGGUCGGAUGGUUCACUUUAAGCCCAUUCAUCAGGAGAGCGACUUGUACGGAGAGGCGAGGGGAAAGAAGGAACAGAAGGACCGGCAGGCGUUCUGUCGCUUUCAUCUCGUCCCGUCGCAUUUCAUCAUGGGGAAGUCGCUCUUUCAGAGUCCGCCGAUACCACAUGAGUGACUUCAGGAUCCAGGCACGCUCAGACCAGGGUCUUGGAUACAAGCCACACUUGGACUUGUCGUUUUGAAUUAGCAGUUUGUUUCAGACAAUUAGACAAGAAGGACCAUGGAAUUAACAGGCAAAGCGGUUGUCGAUUUUUUGCAUGCAUGUACCUUUCGAUAAAGGAAGUGCUGCUUUUUUCCCCUCUUGCUUCAAAUGUGUUAAAAAAAAUUUUUAGAUGGAGAGUGGGUUGACAUCUCCUUUUUCAUGUUAAUUUGUUUUUGCAUGAAUUGAGUGGCGAUAUUUUGAGACUGGCAUGCUUUUGAAACCAACUGUACCGGGACUGUGCGUGAUGUUACAGACGAUCUAUGAAACAGAAUCCUGCUUCUCUUCAGACAGCACGUCCAGCAGAGAGCGACCCGUGGAGCUGCUUUCUCAGUCCAGAAGCACCAGCAUGCCCAGCACCGAGUUUGAGAGGCUCUCAGCCUAUUUUGGCAGAGUAAACUUGUAGUCUCGUCCUUGUCAGAAGUGACGUCAACAUUCCCAUCAGAGCUUUGCAAGGUUCGGCCAUCUCUCACCUGCGCUUGAAUCAACACAGAGGAAUG